CUUAGCGAUGGACAAGUGUUGUCCGCCCUAAAACUCGCCAAAGAGGAGGCGAACGUUCGCAAAUAUUUAACGGCCGCCAGAAACAGUCGAAAUCCCAAUUUACUGCACAGCGUCCUGUUCUACUUCAGGAACCAUCCGCGGUUUUCCAAUUUACUGCAGAACGAUGAGCGCCUUCACGAGUUUAUCAAGGACUAUAACGCGAUUUUUGAUGGUUAAAUUAGUCCUGUUAUAAAUUAAUGUGAAAUUAUAAAUUAAAUUGUUGAAGUA